AAAAAAAAAAAAAAAAAGAGAUGGGCCUAAUAUCCAGAAUUAGACAAGACGAUUAGAAGACAUAUACGAUAUAUAAAAUCCUUUAAUAUGUCAUGUGACAUCUGAUAGGCAAGAGUGGUUAAAGUUAGGUUAUGUUCGGGUCCUGGAGGAACCAGAAUCGUUCGUUUUUUUUUUAGUCAAAAUUAGAAUCGAAGUGAUUGAAAAUUUAACAAAAUCUCAAUUCUCAAUUUGGCUUAAGUUCUGAUUUUGAUUCGAAUCUCGAUUCUUAGUAUUGAAGUGUUGAGGUAAGCAUGAAAUAUAAGAUGCAGGAACAGAUUGUUUUGAAGCAAGAACUACAGGAUGCAGAUAUCUAUAAUAAUAAGAAACAAUAACUAACUUAUCAGAGCUUUAGGUGAUGCUCUCUUCAAUCUACUUGCUUCUUCCUCCAUUCCAACCUGGCUGUUGACACACUUGAUAAUUUGGGAU
rnacentral:misc_RNA from 1 species